rnacentral:tRNA from 1 species
GGACAGGUAGCUCAGUAGGUAGAGCAUCGGACUGAAAAUCCGAGUGUCGGCGGUUCAAUCCCGCCUCUGUCCACCA